rnacentral:piRNA from 1 species
UGUUUAACACACAUUGUUACUCAGCUAAAU